UAGCUAACCACAUUCAUUAUUUUCAAGCCAGUAUGCUUCAAACUUAAUUUCUCUCUUUCUUUUUGCAAGUUCCGCUGAGAGAGUUAGCAAGAUAGGACUGCGGUCGGAGUCUAUAGCAGUGUUGUUUGAUUGACAUAUCAACUAUCAAGAAUUCAAGAUAACAUGUCAAUGGAGGUUGAGGGAUGUGAGGAGAUGACUCCGAUCACAGAAUUUGAAUUGUCGGGUGAUGAAAAUGAAGAAGAGCCAUCCCCAACCACGAGUGCGACAAACAAGG